AUGUAUAUAUAUGUAUAUGUAUAUUUUUUUUCCUUUGUUGCAGCAACCACCUUUACCCUUACCUUGAGGACCUGAGAAAAGAUGCAGAUGAAAGUCUCUUCACUGUUUGGUGUCUGAACAGGAGAGCACCAGCUGCACUGGAGGUGGCUGCCUGAAAAUGUGCCUGUUGGAAAUCAUCCCAGGAAUAUUUGAACUCCCAAG
rnacentral:lncRNA from 1 species